rnacentral:rRNA from 1 species
GACGAACGCUGGCGGCGUGCUUAACACAUGCAAGUCGAACGGAAAGGCCCUGCUUUUGUGGGGUGCUCGAGUGGCGAACGGGUGAGUAACACGUGAGUAACCUGCCCUUGACUUUGGGAUAACUUCAGGAAACUGGGGCUAAUACCGGAUAGGAGCUCCUGCUGCAUGGUGGGGGUUGGAAAGUUUCGGCGGUUGGGGAUGGACUCGCGGCUUAUCAGCUUGUUGGUGGGGUAGUGGCUUACCAAGGCUUUGACGGGUAGCCGGCCUGAGAGGGUGACCGGCCACAUUGGGACUGAGAUACGGCCCAGACUCCUACGGGAGGCAGCAGUGGGGAAUAUUGCACAAUGGGCGGAAGCCGGAGGCAGCAACGCCGCGUGCGGGAGGACGGCCUUCGGGUUGUAAACCGCUUUCGCCUGUGACGAAGCGUGAGUGACGGGAAUGGGUAAAGAAGCACCGGCUAACUACGU